UUUCGGGAAUAGGUCGUUCAAGCUGGUAGGUGUGAGACUUAGGCAAAUCCGGGUCUCUUUAACGCCGAGAAGUGAUAACGAGGGUCUACGGACCUGAAGUGACAGAUACCACGCUUCCAGGAAAAGCCACUAAGCUUCAGCUAAGUCAGAACCGUACCGCAAACCGACACAGGUGGGUAGGAUGAGAAUUCUAAGGCGCUUGAGAGAACUCAGGAGAAGGAACUCGGCAAAUUGAUACCGUAACUUCGGGAGAAGGUAUGCCUCAGAUGGUUAAGGACUUGCUCCGUAAGCUAUUUGAGGCCGCAGAGAAUCGGUGGCUGCGACUGUUUAUUAAAAACACAGCACUCUGCUAACACGAAAGUGGAUGUAUAGGGUGUGACGCCUGCCCGGUGCUGGAAGGUUAAUUGAAGAGGUGAAAGCUUCGGAUCGAAGCCCCAGUAAACGGCGGCCGUAACAAUAACGGUCCUAAGGUAGCGAAAUUCCUUGUCGGGUAAGUUCCGACCCGCACGAAUGGCGUAACGAUGGCCACACUGUCUCCUCCUGAGACUCAGCGAAGUUGAAAUGGUUGUGAAGAUGCAAUCUCCCCGCUGCUAGACGGAAAGACCCCGUGAACCUUUACUGUAGCUUUGCAUUGGACUUUGAAGUCACUUGUGUAGGAUAGGUGGGAGGCUGUGAAGCGAGGACGCUAGUUCUUGUGGAGCCAUCCUUGAAAUACCACCCUGGUGACUUUGAGGUUCUAACCCAGGUCCGUAAUCCGGAUCGGGGACCGUGCAUGGUAGGCAGUUUGACUGGGGCGGUCUCCUCCCAAAGAGUAACGGAGGAGUUCGAAGGUUACCUAGGUCCGGUCGGAAAUCGGGCUGAUAGUGCAAUGGCAAAAGGUAGCUUAACUGCGAGACCGACAAGUCGAGCAGGUGCGAAAGCAGGACAUAGUGAUCCGGUGGUUCUGUAUGGAAGGGCCAUCGCUCAACGGAUAAAAGGUACUCCGGGGAUAACAGGCUGAUUCCGCCCAAGAGUUCAUAUCGACGGCGGAGUUUGGCACCUCGAUGUCGGCUCAUCACAUCCUGGGGCUGUAGUCGGUCCCAAGGGUAUGGCUGUUCGCCAUUUAAAGUGGUACGUGAGCUGGGUUUAAAACGUCGUGAGACAGUUUGGUCCCUAUCUGCAGUGGGCGUUGGAAGUUUGACGGGGGCUGCUCCUAGUACGAGAGGACCGGAGUGGACGAACCUCUGGUGUACCGGUUGUCACGCCAGUGGCAUCGCCGGGUAGCUAAGUUCGGAAGAGAUAAACGCUGAAAGCAUCUAAGCGUGAAACUCGCCUGAAGAUGAGACUUCCCUGAGGAUUUAAUCCUCCUAAAGAGUCGUUCUAGACCAGGACGUUGAUAGGUCGGGUGUGGAAGUGCAGCAAUGCAUGGAGCUAACCGAUACUAAUUGCUCGUGAGGCUUGACU
rnacentral:rRNA from 1 species